GACGAACGCUGGCGGCGUGCUUAACACAUGCAAGUCGAACGGAAAGGCCUGCUUUCCCUUGUGGAUUGCGGGUACUCGAGUGGCGAACGGGUGAGUAACACGUGAGUGAUCUGCCCCCAACUUGGGUAUAAGCCUGGGAAACUGGGUCUAAUUCCCGAUAGGACUGCAGGGUGGUGCCUGUGGUGGAAAACGAUUUUCUAGUGGUUGGGGAUGAGCUCGCGGCCUAUCAGCUUGUUGGUGGGGUAAUGGCCUACCAAGGCGGCGACGGGUAGCCGGCCUGAGAGGAUGGACGGCCACAUUGGGACUGAGGUACGGCCCAGACUCCUACGGGAGGCAGCAGUGGGGAAUAUUGCACAAUGGGCGGAAGCCUGAUGCAGCGACGCCGCGUGGGGGAUGACGGCCUUCGGGUUGUAAACUCCUUUCGACCGCGAGGAAGCCACCUGGUUGGAAGGGUGGUGACGGUAGUGGUAGAAGAAGCACCGGCUAACUACGUG
rnacentral:rRNA from 1 species